AAUGGAAUAACGUUGCUAUCAUGUUAGAUAGUCAAGAAUUCAAAGCCCAGCUCUCCGGCCUAAUGUACAAGAACAGAAAGCGCCACCAUCGGUCAUGUCUGAUCACUAUGCUAGAGAUUGGACUGACCAUAGCUUUCUUUGUAAACGCAAAACGCUUUGCAAAGUAUGACACAACCGAGACGCCACUGAACAAUCUUCAAAGCGUGAUUCGACCUCAGUCGUUUUUUAUGCCAAACUCUAAAUACGUUGUUGACUUGUAUGAAAAGGGCCGUGGUCUUACAAUGGACUUGACAAACGCUACAAUGGCGGCCAGCUUAUCACAACUUGAACAGUCCUACAGUCUGUGGAAGAAAUGGAACUUUUGGAAGCAGGAAAAGCAU